UACGUAGGGCGCAAGCGUUGUCCGGAAUUAUUGGGCGUAAAGAGCUCGUAGGCGGUUUGUCGCGUCUGCUGUGAAAACCUAAGGCUCAACCUUGGGCUUGCAGUGGGUACGGGCAGACUAGAGUGCGGUAGGGGUGACUGGAAUUCCUGGUGUAGCGGUGGAAUGCGCAGAUAUCAGGAGGAACACCGAUGGCGAAGGCAGGUCACUGGGCCGCAACUGACGCUGAGGAGCGAAAGCAUGGGGAGCGAACGGG
rnacentral:rRNA from 1 species